CCUGGGAACUCACUUUGUAGACCAGGCUGGCAUCAAAUUCACAGAGAUCAGCCUGCCUCUGCCUCCUGAGUGCUGGAAU
ensembl:miRNA